CCAGAGGCCCAUUCAGGAUUAUUGCAACUCCAUUUAAAAAGACCAUCUUGUAUUCACUUCUCAUGCCAACAACAAUUUAAAAUACAAGCAUAGAAGAGAUGAAGUUAGAAAGGCCAGGUUGGAGACAUAAUCUUGUUUAGUUAACCUAUUUAAUUGGAAAGCUAUUGAUGUUCACCUUUGAGGGAAGGGAACAUGAGGACAGCAGUGUGUGUGUGUGUGUGUGUGUGUGUGUGUGUGUAUGUGUGUGUGUUUGGUGAAAGGCCUUUUAGAGCGAAGUAAGAAGGAAAUGGAUGCUUGGCAAAUGCUCAGCCAGCAUCCUUAUCGCUGCUGCUCUCAGAGCUGACCACCAUAGCUUCUUAAUAAUGGACACACAGAACACACUCAUUUCUAUUUAGGUUCUCACUAGGCUCUUUCUUUGUGUAGCUACAGACAACAUUACUAAUGAACGAAAAGAUAUUUCAUUAUCCUGAAGACUGCUCGUGUUUAUUCUCCAUCAAACAUCAUCUGAUUUAAAGACAGAGAUGUACAGGAAAGGAGCGACAUUUGGAUUUUAAAGUUUCUUUCUUUCUUUCUUGAGCUCAUAUGGAAUGAAGGGGAAAUUGUGUUCGACACAAGUGGAAGUCUGCUGUUUAAUAGUGUGGGUCUAAAAGGCAGUGGUGGGGAGGAUGUUCUCCACAGCAAAUGCUUUCUGCCUCCCUGGCUUUCAUCCCAAGUGCAGACAACAGACGUCGUCAUUUUCCAACUCAAUUUACAGACGCAUUAGGAGAUGCUGAGGCGCGCCCAACUCUCUCAAAUGCAAUCAGCCUGCCUGUGUGUUUUAAGAGGAAAUUGAGGGUGCAAUCUUUAUCGACUUCUUUUUGACUUCUCCUCUUUUGUAGACUCAUCUCCCCACGAAGAUCAUAUCAAAUCAUAAAACAGCUGCAUUUGGAUCGUGUUCAUGACCGUCCUUUACUGAUCUGUCUCCCUUUUAGGCUACAAGAAAGAAAAGAAAAAAAGGGAAAGAGGAUGUUUGAGGCGACUGUUUGUACUCGUCUCAUAAAGAUUUAGAUAGAUUCAGAUAUCCUCAGCUGUCACAGAUGUAGUGAAGAUUGGGGAAGAGGAUGAGGGAGAGCUGACUCCGACCGCCUGCAGGAUAUAAUGAGAUCGAACCACUUAUCUGCCUUCAGAUGGGAAACUACUUCCACCAUCAGAGCGCCAUCUGCUGGCCUGGUGGGGUGGGACAGCUGGUGUUGUGAAUCAGGCCGCCACAGUCCAGGGACCGGCUACUUCCCAACACCAGGGUCUCACCCUCACCCCACACAUCCAAACAGGCUUUACCUGAAGCUGUCAUGUCUGAUCCAAUGCUGAUGAAAUAAAACAGCCUAUUCAUACGUUUUUCUUUUAUCAAAUCUGUGUCUCCAUCUAAGACAGCAAAGAUAAAGACUUUAUAAUAUAAAAAUAUUCCCAAAGAAGUACAUCAAAUAAAAAUGAUUAUUAUUAUAGAAUAGCCUAUAUGUUUAUGGGUUUAUCUGUUUAAAGAUUCAGGAAAUAUUAAGACGUCACGUGCAAAGUUAUUUAUUAAAGUAUGAUUGGUCUGAAAA